AAAAAAAAAAAAAAAGGAAAGAGAGGAUCAUCUUGGUUUUUUAGUUUAUGUGAAUAUAUUGGGUGUAAAUGAAGUGUUUGACUGUAUGUGCUCUCCACAGUAUUGCACACGUGACUGCUGCAGUAUUACAUACAUGUGAGGCUGUCACAUAAGAAAGGUCUUGGUUUCUUAAUUGCGAAUGAGCAGUGAUAAUGAUUCUCACAUGUUUCUUUCCAGCUAAUGUCAUGUUAUGCAUUUAGUAAUGAUGAUUAUCAUGUGCGUUAAAGCUUACAUUUAAUUGGUAUUGACGCUAAUAGGCCAAUAGCUAUAGUUUAACAUUUAAUUGGUAUUGACGCUAAUAGGCCAAUAGCUAUAGUUUAACAUUUAAUUGGUAUUGACGCUAAUAGGCCAAUAGCUAUAGUUUA
rnacentral:misc_RNA from 1 species